rnacentral:rRNA from 1 species
CGCCCCAGUUCGGAUUGCAGGCUGCAACUCGCCUGCAUGAAGCCGGAAUCGCUAGUAAUCGCGGGUCAGCAUACCGCGGUGAAUGUGUUCCUGAGCCUUGUACACACCGCCCGUCAAGCCACGAAAGUGGGGGGCAUCCGACAACGCUGCCGUAACCCGCAAGGGAGCAAAGCGUCUAAGAUGAACUCCGUGAUUGGGACUAAGUCGUAACAAGGUAGCCGUAGGGGAACCUGCGGCUGGAUCACCUCCUUU